GUCUCCAGAGCACAGCCCUGGCUUGGCACACGCUGAAACAGGCGUCCGAGUUGAGAUGCAUAAGUUCUGUAGUGCACGCGUAGCGCGUGAGCUGGUGUGUAAACCUUCAGCAGGUACCGGAGUGCCUCGGGAACACUUUGCCCUCGCUGUUUGCAGUCCCUGCAUGGAAACACGCGGCAGGCUGUGUCCCACAAAACCCUGCCGGGUAGGUAAAUAUGCUCGCUCUCGUUUUACAGAUGGAUAAGCAGAGACAGAGAGAUACCGAGCGACUUGCCCUAAAGGUUAAACACGACGUCCGAAACAUAACCCAGGGCCCUCAGCUGAAGAAGCGGUGGCUGUGUUUCAUUAAAGAUACCCAGGAAAUUAAACCAUUCUAGCUGGCUGGGCAGUCUUGCAGAACUGCUGUCCUCCCCUGAAUCUAAAUGGGCUAAGUUUGCUCUGUGGAGCACCUCAUGAUGUGUUCGGGCUGCUGGCAUUGCUGGUAUUGUGCUUCUGUGUGGCUGGAAGUUUCCUCCAAGAACCAAAGUUCGGAGUUGUCUCUGACCUCAGUGGGACCCGAUUUAUUGCCUGUUCUCUUGUACCACCGCAGUGGUUGAACGCCCAGCAAACAGAGCUGGUGAAACCAUAUUUGAUUAAAUGUCUCUGAUUGUAUGUGGCAUUGGUUAAAUGUUGUUUGCGUUGUGCUUAAUAUCACUGAAGUAAAAAUGCUGUAUAAGAAGAUAACUAUUUCAUUAUUAUUUUUUCAAUAAACAUUUUCCGGAAGCCACUUCUAUCCACAAGAAAAGAGAACCGUGAGGGGGAAAUAAAAACAGGUGGUUUUCAUCCAAAUCAA